AUUGACUAAAUGGCUGCAGUAUAUUGACUGUACAAAGGUAGCAUAAUAAUUAGAUUUUUAAAUGAAAUCUGGAAUGAAAGGAUUGACAAAAAGAAAUCUGUCUUUUUUUUAAUUAUAAAAUUUAACUUUAAAGUGAAAAGGCUUUAAUAAAUUAAGGGGACGAUAAGACCCUAUAAAACAUUUUACUGGGGUGGUGUGUUAUAAUUAUUAGCUAAUAAAGAUUAAGUCAUUGGUAAAUGGAUGAUCCUAAAAAAGAUUAAAAGAGUAAGUUACUUUAGGGAUAACAGCGUUAUUUUUUUGGAGAGUUCUUAUUAAAAAAAAAGAUUGCGACCUCGAUGUUGAAUUAAAAAUUACUUUAUGGAGCAGUAUCUAUAAAAGUAGGUCUGUUCGACCUUUAAAUAUUU
rnacentral:rRNA from 1 species